AACAACGCCGGCCGGCGUGCCUAAAACAUGCAAGUAGAACGGUGAAGAGAGGAGCUUGCUUUUUUGGGUGAGUUGCGAAUGGGUGAGUAACGCGUAGGUAACCUGCCUUGUAGCGGGGGAUAACUAUUGGAAACGAUAGCUAAUACCGCAUAACAAUGGAUGACUCAUGUCAUUUAUUUGAAAGGGGCAAAUGCUCCACUACAAGAUGGACCUGCGUUGUAUUAGCUAGUAGGUGAGGUAACGGCUCACCUAGGCGACGAUACAUAGCCGACCUGAGAGGGUGAUCGGCCACACUGGGACUGAGACACGGCCCAGACUCCUACGGGAGGCAGCAGUAGGGAAUCUUCGGCAAUGGGGGCAACCCUGACCGAGCAACGCCGCGUGAGUGAAGAAGGUUUUCGGAUCGUAAAGCUCUGUUGUAAGUCAAGAACGAGUGUGAGGGUGGAAAGUUCACACUGUGACGGUAGCUUACCAGAAAGGGACGGCUAACUACGUGCCAGCAGCCGCGGUAAUACGUAGGUCCCGAGCGUUGUCCGGAUUUAUUGGGCGUAAAGCGAGCGCAGGCGGUUUGAUAAGUCUGAAGUUAAAGGCUGUGGCUCAACCAUAGUUCGCUUUGGAAACUGUCAAACUUGAGUGCAGAAGGGGAGAGUGGAAUUCCAUGUGUAGCGGUGAAAUGCGUAGAUAUAUGGAGGAACACCGGUGGCGAAAGCGGCUCUCUGGUCUGUAACUGACGCUGAGGCUCGAAAGCGUGGGGAGCGAACAGG
rnacentral:rRNA from 1 species